rnacentral:misc_RNA from 1 species
UUUCCGUAGGUGAACCUGCGGAAGGAUCAUUAUCGAACCAAAUGUGCGGGGCAUGCUAGGCCUGUCCCUGAUCCAACCGUCUUCCACGGCCGAGUGAGUCCUCUUGCACAAUAAUCCAUCUCACCCUUUGUCCAUCGCCGCGUGGGCACCCUUUGGGUUCAUCUCGGAGGGGGGCUCGCGUUUUCACUCAAACCCCCCUUUUAAAAGUGUAGAAUGACGACAUUUAAGCAAUAAAUACAACUUUCAACAACGGAUCUCUUGGCUCUC